AAGCGGUGGAGUAUGUGGUUUAAUUCGAUGCAACGCGAAGAACCUUACCAGGGCUUGACAUCCCGGGAACCUGCCUGAAAGGGUGGGGUGCCCGCAAGGGAGCCCGGAGACAGGUGGUGCAUGGCUGUCGUCAGCUCGUGUCGUGAGAUGUUGGAUUAAGUUCCGCAACGAGCGCAACCCUCGUUGCCUGUUGCCAGCACGUGAUGGUGGGCACUCAGGCGAGACUGCCGCAGCAAUGUGGAGGAAGGUGGGAUGACGUCAAGUCAGCAUGCCCCGUACGCCCUGGGCUACACACAUACUACAAUGCGAGGAGCAAACAGUUGCGAACCCGCGAGGGGGAGCUAAUCUGAGAAGGCCUCGCUCAGUGCAGAUUGCAGGCUGCAACUCGCCUGCAUGAAGGCGGAAUCGCUAGUAACCGUCGGUCAGCAUUACGACGGUGAAUACGUUCCCGGGCCUU
rnacentral:rRNA from 1 species